rnacentral:rRNA from 1 species
CUUGCAGGGCAUGCCUCAGUACGGCGAGUGAAGCGGCAAAAGCUCAAAUUUUAAAGCUGACAUCUUCGGUGUCCGCGUUGUAAUUUUGUGAGGCAUCUCCGGGUAGGGCGCCGGCCUAAGUUCCUUGGAACAGGACGUCACAGAGGGUGAGAAUCCCGUGCUUGGCUGGCUGUCCCCGUCCAUGUGAGGUGUCUUCGACGAGUCGAGUUGUUUGGGAAUGCAGCUCAAAAUGGGUGGUAAAUUUCAUCUAAAGCUAAAUAUUGGUGGGAGACCGAUAGCGCACAAGUAGAGUGAUCGAAAGAUGAAAAGCACUUUGAAAAUAGAGUUAAAAAGUACGUGAAAUUGUUGAAAGGGAAGCGCUUGAGACCAGACUUCGGUAAGGGGUGAUCAGCCGUCCUUUUGGGCGGUGCACUUGCCCCCCUCCGGGCCAGCAUCGGUUGAGGCGGCGGGAUAAAGGUCCCGGGAAUGUGGCUCCUUCACGGGAGUGUUAUAGCCCGGGUGAAUGCCGCCAGCUUCGACCGAGGACCGCACCCGCAAGGGUUAGGAUGCUUGGCAUAAUGGUCUUCAGCGACCCGUCUUGAAACCACCGGACCA